rnacentral:rRNA from 1 species
ACGGAAGGCAGCAGUGGGGAAUAUUGCACAAUGGGCGAAAGCCUGAUGCAGCAACGCCGCGUGAGGGAAGACGGUUUUCGGAUUGUAAACCUCUGUCUUUGGUGAAGAAGAAGUGACAUUAGCCGAGGAGGAAGCCGCGGCUAACUACGUGCCAGCAGCCGCGGUAAUACGUAGGUGGCAAGCGUUAUCCGGAAUUACUGGGUGUAAAGGGAGCGCAGGCGGGAAGUCAAGUCAGCGGUGAAAUGUAUGGGCUCAACCCAGGAACUGCCGUUGAAACUGAUGUUCUUGAGUGGAGUAGAGGCAAGCGGAAUUCCGCGUGUAGCGGUGAAAUGCGUAGAUAUUCGGAGGAACACCAGUGGCGAAGGCGGCUUGCUGGGAUCUAACUGACGCUGAGGCUCGAAAGUGUGGGGAGCAAACAGGAUUAGAUACCCUGGUA